rnacentral:tRNA from 1 species
AUUAAUUUAGUAUAGUAGAAAGCACAUUGGAUUUGGAAUCAAAAGACCUGGGUUCAUAACCCAGAUUUACUA